rnacentral:rRNA from 1 species
CAACAGGGAUUGCCUUAGUAACGGCGAGUGAAGCGGCAAAAGCUCAAAUUUGAAAUCUGGCACCUUCGGUGUCCGAGUUGUAAUUUGAAGAAGGUAACUUUGGGAUUGGCUCUUGUCUAAGUUCCUUGGAACAGGACGUCACAGAGGGUGAGAAUCCCGUGCGAUGAGAUGACCAAUCCUAUGUAAAGUGCUUUCGAAGAGUCGAGUUGUUUGGGAAUGCAGCUCUAAGUGGGUGGUAAAUUCCAUCUAAAGCUAAAUAUUGGCGAGAGACCGAUAGCGAACAAGUACAGUGAUGGAAAGAUGAAAAGAACUUUGAAAAGAGAGUGAAAAAGUACGUGAAAUUGUUGAAAGGGAAGGGCUUGAGAUCAGACUUGGUAUUUUGCAUUCCUUACCUUCGUGGUGGGGUUCCUUGCAGUUUACUGGGCCAGCAUCGGUUUGGAUGGUGGGAUAAUGACAUUGGAAUGUGGCUCUGCUUCGGUAGAGUGUUAUAGCCAGUGUUGAUACCGCCUGUCUAGACCGAGGACUGCGUCUUUGACUAGGAUGCUGGCAUAAUGAUCU